UCCUCCCUGUCUGUUCUCAUGUUUAUUGUAUCAACACAUUCAUUAAAUGGGUGUACUGUAGUUCAUAUCUUAUUUGCAAGUUGUGCAAAGCUGAUGCUAUUUGAUCGUCUCAGUUAGAUGAAAAAUCAGGCAAGGUCUAAGGAAAGAAGAAUUGAGGAUCGGGAAGCAUAGGAGCAGAUUCUCGCGAUAUGUUACUGCGUCAUCUUAGCCGAUAACAAAUGGAGAAGAAACAGAAAAGAAGUGGAGGAUGAAUAUUGGACCAAGAAUUUAAUGAGGUCAUGUGAAUCUUUUGUCUUCACUUUGAGAUGCAGAGGGGGAGAGAGGAAAAGGAUUUCAUGUCUCAGCCAAGCAGGAGUCGUUCAUCUCCAUGCAGCAGGAGCAACGCGCAUGCAAAUGCGAGCCCACAGUAAGCCGCCAUUGCCUUUCUCUUAGCCCAAUCGCCCUCUCUGCACAUAUUUUGUAUGUGUGUCCUUGCAAAACGAUCCAUAUCCCGCAUAAGUGGGAUACUUUGCUCAGCUUGCUCCACUAUUGAAGUACUUUGUUGUAAACACGUUUCUACAUAAUAAUUGUUAAUACCUUAACUUUGAUGUGAAGGUUUGCAUUAUUGUUGUCGGACCUGAAUUACAUCAAAGACUUCAACAAGGGAUGUUUUCCCUUUCACGUGAUUGUCUUGCUGCCUUCCUCCUGCCUUUCAGUUCCAUGCAUGUACGCAGCUCCAAGAUCCAGAGGCGUGCGAUUGUCACGGCAAACGCGAGUAGCAAGGAUGACAAGGCGGAGGAGGGAGGGAGAGUGUUCAACCCAUCCAGGUUGCGACCAACCAAUCUCCGUUAAUAUCAUUCAUGUUGGUGCUGCCACUCUCCACGGAGGUGCCGGUCGGCCGGCACAUACGUCAGUUCAUGAAUGCCAGGCGCUGCUCUUUUUUGUGAGG